rnacentral:rRNA from 1 species
CAGUCGCCACGGUAAUACGUAGGGUGCGAGCGUUAAUCGGAAUUACUGGGCGUAAAGCGUGCGCUGGCGGUUGUGUAAGACAGGUGUGAAAUCCCCGGGCUUAACCUGGGAACUGCGCUUGUGACUGCACAGCUAGAGUAUGGCAGAGGGGGGUGGAAUUCCACGUGUAGCAGUGAAAUGCGUAGAGAUGUGGAGGAACACCGAUGGCGAAGGCAGCCCCCUGGGCCAAUACUGACGCUCAUGCACGAAAGCGUGGGGAGCAAACAGGAUUAGAUACCCGGGUAGUCCCUGUCUCUUAUAC